rfam:Gossypium raimondii Chr01_contig_126, whole genome shotgun sequence.
UAUUAAAAAAUUCAUCCAAUUCUAUUAUUAAAAACUGGCAUCGAUGGUGGAAUAAACAAAUAGUUGCACAUGGCGUGCCACGUCAACCUCAUGCUAAUAUAUAGAGACUAGUAUUUAACAGUAGAAAUGGAUGAGAUUUUUAAUA